GACUUGACAUGCUUGCCAAUAGCUGGUAGGUAAAGGAAAGUGUGGACUGGCACUUGUUAAUUAAUUCCUCCUUUGCUCUCCUUUUUUUUUCUUUUUUUAAGUUACAAUUUUCCUUUUUAAGAGCAGGAAGACGGGUUUCAACCCCCAGGUUUUGUUGUUGGGUUUUUUGUUGUUGUUGUUGUUGUUAUUUUUUAUUAUUAUUAUUUUUAAAGAAGAAUAAAAGCUACAGCCACCCAAACUUCAACAAGACUACACAAGUAAGCACCCAACAGCAACCCGGCUGCGCGGAUUCAUUAAACGAGGAUCCCUCGCAAGAGUUUUACUGCACUCCAUUUAUCAAUUGGACUUGACAACAAAAGAAAGAACGGGGGGAAAACCUGGGGCAGAUUCAAGUCACUUCCACUCUGUAUGAAGGAAGGGGGAGUUCCUUACGGGCACGGUGCGGGUUGUCAGUCCCGCUGCAGCGGCGGCAGCUUUUGUGCGAUGCUUCUCCCUCUGCCCCCCGAUCCUUUCACUGUCACGGCCUCGGAAGAACACAGCGGGCACGGCGACACGGAAGCCCGGCUCUGCCCUGCACCGACACGUUCCGGCGACACGUUCCGCGCUUCCAGAGAACACACAGAAAUUAAAAAAGUUUGUUAAAAUCGUCUUUCUAGGAGGCGAGGGCACUUCCGCGUAUCGCCCCGUUCUAUCCAACGUGCCAAAGAGCGCGGCGGUUCAAUAAAAGCCACCCGAGAUACCGACCCGGCUGCGGGACCGACGGAGCACCGCUCUGGGGGCGGGGAGGGCGUCGGAGAAAGGCGGCCCGUGGGGAGAGGGCCGCUGGGGGCCGCCCGGCGCGGGGUCCGGGGGUGGCGGUGCGGGGAAGGAGAAGGUGAAGGCGAAGGACGGGGUUCGGCGGGGCCGAGAGCGAGCGGGGAAAGUCCUUCCCCACGCCCACCCCUCCCCGAGCGGCGCCUGUUCUGGUCGGAGUCCAGGUCAGGAAUUGGCCGCGACCCCUGAAGCACUUGCCUUGUUCUUCACUUGUCAAACGUGUUUUAUCUCUAAGUGACCUUUUUGUUAAUGUUGUAGAUUGUGUGGGCCACCAUGUCAGAUCCGGAAACAAAAGUAAAAGAUUGAUUAACA